GUGAGGAAUAUUGGACAAUGGGCGCAAGCCUGAUCCAGCCAUGCCGCGUGCAGGAAGACGCAUCUAUGGUGUGUAAACUGCUUUUGUACGGGAAGAAACACUCCCUCGUGAGGGAGCUUGACGGUACCGUAAGAAUAAGGAUCGGCUAACUCCGUGCCAGCAGCCGCGGUAAUACGGAGGAUCCAAGCGUUAUCCGGAAUCAUUGGGUUUAAAGGGUCCGUAGGCGGUUUAAUAAGUCAGUGGUGAAAGCCCAUCGCUCAACGAUGGAACGGCCAUUGAUACUGUUAGACUUGAAUUACAAGGAAGUAACUAGAAUAUGUAGUGUAGCGGUGAAAUGCUUAGAUAUUACAUGGAAUACCAAUUGCGAAGGCAGGUUACUACUUGUGGAUUGACGCUGAUGGACGAAAGCGUGGGGAGCGAACAGGAUUAGAAACCUAGUAGUCC
rnacentral:rRNA from 1 species